UGUGCACUCCACUACCACUGUAUUCAUAGAAGAUCAGGGGUGGACGGGACCUCAGGAGGUCAUCUAGUCCGACCCCCUGCUCAAAGCAGGACCAAGCCCCAGUUUUUGCCCCAGAUUCCUAAACGGCCCCCCUCAAGGAUUGAACUCACAAGCCUGGGGUUAGCAGGCCAAUGCUCAAGCCACUGAGCUAUCCCUCCCAUGCACUGGGCAGUGGCGGUCCUCGCUGGGCGCGUUAUUCUCAGACACGCGUAGGAGCGAAUGAUGCCCCGGAGAUGGGGGGGGGGGGGGGGGGGGGGGGGGAAUUACAGCUGGUGGCACGUGGAAAUAUGCCCAGAGCCUGGCAAAUCACUUCCCUCCCUUCAGGCUCUGCUGCUCACAGGACACUGGGACUGAGGCUCCAGCGCUGAUCUGUCUCUCACCUCCCCUUUUCAGGAUCGAAAGCUGGGGGGGCGUUGAUUAAGAAUAACAAAUGGGUGGAAGACACGCAGCAGGGUUUUUUAGCAGUAUUUAAGAUUAAAUGGUCAAGUAAAAGCUGAAAUGAAGAACGGCCAGUCUGACUGUCAAGUGGCAACAUGUUGUUGCAGCUGCUAUGCAAGAUUAUUGAGUUUGAAAGUGAAGUGCAGGCAAGCUAAAGCUGCACAAAGAAAAUACACUGCUGUAAUUAAUUAUGCUGAGAACAUGCUAUUUCCUUAUUGAAGGCUUAUAAUGAAGUUAAAACGCCUCAGAUUUUUUUCUUCAAAUAGUUUUUACUGUGUCGUAAGAGUUUAAAGCUAAAACUACAAACUUCUGUACCCAUAGAAAGAAGAAGAUCUUUUGAACUAAUGCAGUUUUCUCUUCUUUGUUUUUUGGUCCCUUCUCCAUCCUUUUUAUGACGACACAAUUUAGAUUUUACAAUGUCAGUUUUAUGAGACUUAGGUCAACAGAUAUUCCUCAUCAAUUCUGAGACAAAAAGCCCAUGGGCACAACUCUGCUCUCUGUUACAGUGAAAUACAUUCAGAAUAACUCCACUGACAAUGGAUUAACACAGCAGAAUUUGAGUCAAGAUCUUUCGUUCAGAGUAAUCUCUAUUGUUAUCAUUAACAUGCUGCUGUUGACUCCUUCCAGACCAUUAAUCAUAGAAAGGGGUAAAAAUUCACCUUGGUAUAGGGGAUCCAUGCAAUACAUACUGCAUCAGCUAAGGAGGGCUUGUCUACCUUAGGAAUUUGUGUAUUGAUGUGGCAGCACUGGUGCAAGCUCUCAUGAUAAUGUGCUGCAGUGCUGUAAAGUGGAACAUGUACUGAUUUGACUUUGACUUACCCCAGUUCCAUCAUACCAAAGGAAGCCCCAUUUGAUACCAAUGCAGUACAUCAAUACUCUGCCCUGGCGGAUCGUGACCUAGACGGGGCUUGAGUGUUCCCAUAAUCCUGAGAGCAAUGCAGUCAGGAGUCUUACAUUCCUGGUAGGGUCACCCAACGUGUCAAGGUGAAAGGUGAGGUUCCAGAUGAACAGUGAUCCGACCCUCCACCCCCACAUCCUCAACAGCAGCGCAAGAGGAUGGAAAGAAUUUCUCUCAACGGUUGUGAAAGCUGCAGCAGGAUGGCAGUCUCCCAUCACCUUGGGUUUCCUUGCCAUUGGAUUACGCCUUCAUCCUGACAAGGACCUUGUGCACCCUGGUAUGUAAUGGUGUCUCCACGUUAAAAGAAAUCAUGCACAGGUGUCUUCCAUAUUCAUGACCAAGUUCUAUGGUGAUCAGCAAGUAGCAACGGGAGGAGGCAGUGAUGACCAGAAGCUCCUAAUCAUGGACUGGCAUGCAAGCAGCGGCUGUUAGAAGGCUGUUUUUGCAUUUGGACAGGAGUGCAACUCAGCAGCUGCAACCGCAACUGAGCUGCUCUUUUUAGGACCCACUGCACAUCCCACAUGAGGAAGGAGCAACAAAAGGUGCCCUAAACGUAGUCUGCCUUGCCUACCCCAACUGGAUAACCACGUUCAGAGGGAUUAUCUAACUGCGCUCAAAACUGAAUGAAAUUUAGAACCUGGAACAUUCAAACCCUGAUGGACAACCCAAAUAGUAACCAGCCAGAAUACAGAACAGUGAUUGUGGCCAGAGAACUCAGGAUAUAUGACAUCAAAAUUGCUGCACUGAGCGAGACCCAACAUGUAGGACAGCUAAAGGAACAAGGUGGUGGUGGUGACGCCUUUUUCCAGAGAGGAGCAGAUGAUGAUAAAUGACAAAUCUACAGUACUGGUUUCACCAUCAAAAGCAAAAUAAUAAACCAACUCUCGGAAGUACCAAUUAGCAACAAUGAAUGACUCAUGACUCUCUGCCUUACAUUUGCCAAGAACCAGCAUGUAACACUCAUCAGAGCAUCACUCCAUCUCUUAAUGCUGAUGAUGAAACCAAAAGUAGUAUUCUAUGCCAACCUUGACCAAAUUGUCUCCUCCAUCUCCAAAGAGGACAAGUUUAUACUCCUUGCUGAUUUUAACGCAAGAGUUGGACAUGACUUGGAACUUUGGAAUUGCACAAUCGGAAAGGAAAGUGUGGGCAAGACCAAUUCCAAUGGAAUUCUUCUCCUAACCAAAUGCGCAGAACACUAACACUAUAUUCCAAAGAACCAAAAGAACAAGAACAAGACAUCAUGGGGAAAAACCCUAUCCAAGCAUUGGCAGCUGAUCGACUAGGUUAUUGUCUGUGCUCAUGACUGUGAAGAUGUCCGUAUCACCAAAGUGAUGACGACUUGUGCUGACGAUUGUUGGACGGACCAUCGCCUCAUCCGCUCCAUUACUUCCAUUAAACUUGCUUCAAAACAAUGAAUGCAGAAAAAACCAGCCAGAUGAAAGAUCAACAUCGAGAGUCAAGAACACAACCAAACCUGGCCUUUUCUGACUGUGCCUCACCAAGAAACUCUGUACAUGGCCUUUAUCAAUC